GGGGAAAGAACUUGGCAGUAGAGAACCCUGGCAAACACUCCUCAGCUAGGUGAUCCAGGUGAAUGGACAUCAGGAAUAAGUCAUGUGGGCAGCAUGUGCCCUUGGUACAUUGUGAUGAGAAAGGAGAGGCACAACAACGAUUCUAUGCCAGGGGAAAGCCGCUGGGCCUGCUCCGCCCUCCAAUUAACCCAUUUUAUCUGAGAGGCUGGAAAGGAAGAAGGUACAAGGCCAGGGGCUCAGCUAUGAAAACAUGUUCUGAAUGGGAUAAAAACAGCAGUGGGAAGCCUCUGUCUUAUAUAAAUAAAUAGUAGAUGUUAAAGUAAAAUAAAAUAAAAUAAAAUAAAAUAAAAUAAAAUAAAAUAAAAUAUUUC
rnacentral:lncRNA from 1 species